CAGCAGCAGCAGCAGCAGCAGCAGCAGCAGCAGCAGCAGCAGCAGCAGCAGCAGCAGCAGCAUCUCGUUGCUGAACCCUGAGCCCCAGCAGAGCCUCCAAUAGGGAACUUGACAGUGGCUUUGCUGGACUUGGAUCAGAAAAUCCAGAAGCCUGGUGAAAUCAGAUGGUUAUGGUCCUGGGCCAAGAGCUGAGGACGUGCCAGGGAAACAAUCUCACACAAUCCUGUUAAGUACACACCACCAAGGAAUGGCGGGCCUCGGGACGGGGCUGCAUCCCCCCCGGCCCUGCCCAGCCAAGCAGAUGGCGGCGUGGGCGGUAGGUACCAGCCUCCUGGCAAUCCGAACAUCUGUUCCCGUUAGAAAAUGCUAAUUGCCAUCAAUCAGGACAGCACCUACCCGCAUUUACAUGCAAGCGCACAUGCAAAAAAAAAAAAAUCUAAAUUUCUCCCAGCGACGUACUGCUUGCAUGUUAACUAGCCAGAGUAGCCGGAGGGCGGCUGAGCCAAAGGCUGCCACCGUGGUCUGCCAGCCUUCUAGGCCCUACCCAGACUCCAACCAGGGCAACGAUAAUGGAGUGGCUCUGAAGGUAGCCUGGUGACAGGCUCUGUGGAUUCUCAUCUGCCUGGUCCAGGGCGGACAUGGGGCCAUUGACCUCGGCAGUACAGUCCCACCUGUGCAUGGGAGCCUCCCUGCCUUGGUUGUUGCUCUGAAUACCACUUGAUAGAGCUUUCUGGCUUCUGCCCCAUGGCUCUCUGAAAGUGAAGGUUCUUUUGCUCUCUGCCAUAAUUUCCAGGACUAACCUAUCCUGAUGUUUCCACCACAGGCCUGAACUAGAGACACAUUGGUGUUUCAGAGACUGCUCCCAUGGUUGUUGAGACUCUAAGCAGUGGGGGUCACAGCCCAGGGCCAUCCAUCUCUGGCUAGUGUUUUCUACCUGGCCCUCAUGGCUACUCCCAUCCUCUGGUCCCCAGCCGGAGCUUGGACGAUCAAUCUCAUUCUUCCCUGGACACUGUUUUCCUGGUCAUCACGGGGCUUCCCUAGACCCUGGUGAUCUGAGUUUGUCCUGAAAGCCAGGGAUGGACUUGGGGCUGUGAGAUCGGUCAAUCCAGCCGCUCCCAGGCUGUGCUGGAGAGGAGAAGGGGUGGUAUCCAUUCACACUCACCCCUGGGGAGAGGGCAUCAGAGUCUCUCCCUCCACCCUCAGCUCCACACAGGGCCUCGUGCCUCCCAAGGACGUAUGCAGACCAGCUAUUCCAAGGCACCUGGAGGGCCACCUCAGCUCCCAAUCAACCCUGGACCCGAGGAUGUGAUCCGAACCUCAGAGAUUGUUCUAUUACAUAACAAGAAGCCAGGAGCCUCCUCGCCCCAUCUCUCCAAAGGAAAGCGAUUUUGUUAAUUUUUCUCGAAGGUGCCAGGCGCUGUUGCCAGCCAUGGUUGCUAUGGGGCCUGGUGACUGGCUGCAGGGUAAACUCUAGGUAUUGGAAGAAAGGUUUCUAUGGGGAAGCACAGCGCUCCCCUCACCUCAGAUGAGGGCCACAAAUGGUGAGAAGGACUUCCUAGGAUCAGACCUGGCAGGCAAUGCCAUGGUGGGAGUCAGCCACCUCAGUGGUUUCCUUGUGCACACAUGGGUCACAUGGUGCAUAGGAUGGUGAGUAUCUGUGUAAGCUGACUGUGGGGCCAGGAGGAGGGAAAGGGUGGGAAAGCCUACUCAUCUUCGCCAGAAGUCUCUUUCAAACUGACGCCUCUUUUAAGAAGAGGUCAUUCUUGCACACACAUGGAUGUUGGGGAUGUGAGGCCUCUAGCCACAUACCUACUAUCCGUCCCUCUCCACCAUCUUCCCAGACAUCUAUCCUUUACCCGGGACUGUGCCAUGCAUCCCAGCUGUGUGCUGUCUGUGGUCAGCGAGCCCGUCCUAUCCCCCACUCAACCUCAGGCCCUAUCCCAGCAAGCAUCCACACUCAGUGGGAUGUGAUCCACUGGUUUCUUGCCAGACUCUGGCAGCCAGGGCCUGUUUCCCAUGAUUCAGUUUAAUGACGCCUCCUGUGACUGUAGUUCAGAAGUCAAUGCUUCUCUCUCUGGCAAGGGUAGAGACUGUGAGCAUGGUCUCUGGAAGGAUGUCUUCCUUCUUCCUUCUCCUUCCCUCCCCACCUCUUCUUUCUUUCCCUUCCUCCUCUUCUUCUUCUACACAUGUCUCAGCCUCAGUUUCCCUGCCCAUCCCCAGCGUGAUCCUCUUCCCCACCCAGGCUCCUGAUAUAAGGACCUGGAGGUUGUCUUUCUCCGACACCAGGAUAGAAUGAUGGACCCUCCUCGCUGGUUUCCAUUUCCCUCCCUGCCUUCUUACCCUCAAAGUCUGGUUGUCUGAGUCUGGAGAGCUGAAGGAGGCCCCCGUGAAGAGUGAAAGACUCCAGAACAAAGAAGCAUGGACCUGACCCUCUGGCUUGCCAGCCUGAGCCCCAUAAUAAGGCCAAGAAUGGAUAAAGCUUUAAAUAUAAACUCUACAGCAAUGAUACAAA